AAUGGCCAUAUCACCCUGAAACACCGGUUCCCGUACGAUCACCGAAGUUAGGCAACGUCGGGCCUGAUCAGUACCUAGAUGGAUGGCCGCUUGGAUGUGCGGGUAGUGU